GCAGUGGUGGUUCAGUGGUAAAAUUCUCGCCUUCCAUGCAGAAGACUGGGUUCAAUCCCUGACCAAUGCA
rnacentral:tRNA from 1 species